rnacentral:rRNA from 1 species
AACGCUGGCGGCGCGCUUAACACAUGCAAGUCGAGCGAGAACCGGGGCUUCGGCCCCGGGGACAGCGGCGAACGGGUGAGUAACACGUGGGUAAUCUGCCCUCGGUUCCGGGAUAGCCCGGGGAAACUCGGAUUAAUACCGGCUAGCCUCACGAGCCUUCGGGCGCGUGAGAAAAGGUAGCUUCGGCCUCUGACCGAGGAUGAGCCCGGGGCGGAUUAGCUGGGUGGCGGGGUGACGGCCCACAAAGGCGACGAUCCGUAGCUGGUCUGAGAGGACGAGCAGCCACACUGGGACUGAGACACGGCCCAGACUCCUACGGGAGGCAGCAGUGGGGAAUCUUGCGCAAUGGGCGAAAGCCUGAUCCAGCAAUGCCGCGUGUGUGAAGAAGGCCUUCGGGUUGUAAAGCACUUUUGUCCGGAAAGAAAUGGCUCUGGUUAAUACCUGGGGUCGAUGACGGUACCGGAAGAAUAAGGACCGGCUAACUGCGUGCCAGCAGCCGCGGUAAAAC